rnacentral:lncRNA from 1 species
AGAAGACAUUAUAAAACCUGCACGAAGAACAGAGCAGUCAGGCCAAGUUAAGGCAAAAGUCGAUCCCAAGAAAAGUCGACCUGGACUUAAGGGAAUCGAACUUGCAAUAUAAGGGAAGUCGACCUCAGAAGUCGAUCCCAGAAAAGUCGACUAUCAAGAGACAAAGGUCUCCAGAAAUCGAUCACAGGAAAGUCGACUGUCAGGAAGUCGAUCCCAGUAAAAAUGGAUCCAACUUUGAAAAGUCGAUGACAAGGCGUCAAACUUCACAAAGUCGGACCACAGUCCAAUGGGGAACAACUUCAAAGGGGACCAACUUUCAGAAAAGUCGGACGCCAAGGAAGUCGAACCCAGUGCAGCCUCAGUAGAGCCCGAUAACAAAAGUCGGACUCCAGAAAGCUGCACCUCCAAGGCUAAAGUCGAAGCCUCACGCACGCUGGA